GACGAACGCUGGCGGCGUGCUUAACACAUGCAAGUCGAACGGAAAGGCCCUGCUUUUGUGGGGUGCUCGAGUGGCGAACGGGUGAGUAACACGUGAGUAACCUGCCCUUGACUUUGGGAUAACUUCAGGAAACUGGGGCUAAUACCGGAUAGGAGCUCCUGCUGCAUGGGGGGGGUUGGAAAGUUUCGGCGGUUGGGGAUGGACUCGCGGCUUAUCAGCUUGUUGGUGGGGUAGUGGCUUACCAAGGCUUUGACGGGUAGCCGGCCUGGGAGGGUGACCGGCCACAUUGGGACUGAGGUACGGCCCAGACUCCUACGGGAGGCAGCAGUGGGGAAUAUUGCACAAUGGGCGGAAGCCUGAUGCAGCAACGCCGCGUGCGGGAUGACGGCCUUCGGGUUGUAAACCGCUUUCGCCUGUGACGAAGCGUGAGUGACGGUAAUGGGUAAAGAAGCACCGGCUAACUACGUG
rnacentral:rRNA from 1 species